GCUCCGCGUUCUCCAUUUUGGGCCACCCAUUGGGGGGGGGUCUCCGUAGAGGCCCCGAGGGAGAGUUGGGCGAGGGAAGGAAGAGAAAAUCUUCAGCGAGGGUAGUCGAAAAGAAGAGUCCUGCGGUAGAAAGCCACUCUAGGAGUAGGAGUGUCCUGGACCUUUGACCGCUGAGAGUUCUCUAACGCCGGGGAGAAAAACGGGGAGGGCCCCUCUGAAGCGCCACUUUUCCUAGGGCUGGAAGAAGUGACCUAUUACAGUGUCACCAUUACUGUUAUAGAAAGUUACUAGGUUCAUACAGUAGUGUUUGGUUAAGA